CAGGCCUAACACAUGCAAGUCGAGGGGUAUAGUUCUCCGGAACUAGAGACCGGCGCACGGGUGCGUAACGCGUAUGCAAUCUACCUUUUACAGAGGGAUAGCCCAGAGAAAUUUGGAUUAAUACCUCAUAGUAUUAUAGAAUGGCAUCAUUUUAUAAUUAAAGUCACAACGGUAAAAGAUGAGCAUGCGUCCCAUUAGCUAGUUGGUAAGGUAACGGCUUACCAAGGCGACGAUGGGUAGGGGUCCUGAGAGGGAGAUCCCCCACACUGGUACUGAGACACGGACCAGACUCCUACGGGAGGCAGCAGUGAGGAAUAUUGGUCAAUGGACGCAAGUCUGAACCAGCCAUGCCGCGUGCAGGAUGACGGUCCUAUGGAUUGUAAACUGCUUUUGUACAGGAAGAAACACUGGCUCGUGAGCCGGCUUGACGGUACUGUAAGAAUAAGGAUCGGCUAACUCCGUGCCAGCAGCCGCGGUAAUACGGAGGAUCCAAGCGUAUCGGAUCAUGGGUCGCAAGACAAUUUACAAGGUGCUGCAAUGGUUGUCGUCAGCUCGUGCCGUGAGGUGUCAGGUUAAGUCCUAUAACGAGCGCAACCCCUGUUGUUAGUUGCCAGCGAGUCAAGUCGGGAACUCUAACAAGACUGCCAGUGCAAACUGUGAGGAAGGUGGGGAUGACGUCAAAUCAUCACGGCCCUUACGCCUUGGGCUACACACGUGCUACAAUGGACGGUACAGAGAGCAGCCACUGGGUGACCAGGAGCGAAUCUACAAAACCGUUCUCAGCUCGGAUCGGAGUCUGCAACUCGACUCCGUGAAGCUGGAAUCGCUAGUAAUCGGAUAUCAGCCAUGAUCCGGUGAAUACGUUCCCGGGCCUUGUACACACCGCCCGUCAAGCCAUGGAAGCUGGGGGUGCCUGAAGAUGGUGAC
rnacentral:rRNA from 1 species